rnacentral:rRNA from 1 species
AGCGAACGCUGGCGGCAGGCCUAACACAUGCAAGUCGCACGGAUCUUUCGGGAUCAGUUGCUGAUGGGGGAGUAACGCGUAGGGAGGUAUCCAUGGGUGUGGGACAACUCCGGGAAACUGGGGCUAAUACCGCAUGAUACCUGAGGGUCAAAGACGCAAGUCGCGUGUGGAGGAAGCUGCGUUGGAUUAGCUAGGUGGUGGGGUAAAGGCCUACCAAGGCGAUGAUCGAUAGCUGGUUUGAGAGGAUGAUCCGCCACACCGGAGCGGAGACACGGCGCGGACUCUUACAGGAGGGAGGAGAGCCGAAUAUUGGCAAACGGGCGAGAGGCUGAAGCAGCAAUGCCGGUUGUGUGCAUAAGUUCGUCAGAUUGUAAAGCACUUUAAACCCGGGCGAUGAUGACGGUACCCGAAGAAGAAGCCCCGGCUAACUUCGUG